CCCGCUCACACACACACACACACACACACACACACACACACACGGCCCUCCUCCUCCAGAUACAGGACACUUUUGUUCUGUGUUUUCAUCAGGAGUGCAGUGAACGAGAGGCAGUGUCACAGAAGAGACGCUUCAGAGCUCAAGUCAAAGGUCUGUCAUGGGCCGCUGGGUGACGCCUGUGGCUGUUCUGAUGCUCCUCAUUGGUCAGAUUUGUGCAGAGACGAGCAGCAGCUCAAACGCUUGUCAGGAUCAGAACGCUCUUCAUGACCGGAUGGACGUGGUAGAGAAGCGGGUGGAGGACACUCUUCAGAAGCUGGACGCUGAGCUGGCUCUUCUGCUGGACGCUGUUGAGGCCCCUGAGUGGAGCCCCCUGCUGGACAAACCACUUAUCGACAUACUGGAUGAGCCGCCGGGUGAAAUAUGAUCCUGCCGUUUCUUCAUGAGAUCGCACACAACAAUAAAUGGAUAGAGCAGCUCAUAAAGUUCCUGUCCUAAUAAUUCAAAACAGGGUUUUUUUUUUUUUAAGCUUUUCUUAUUAAAAUGAAACAACUCAUUUAUACUACUUUACUGCAUGUCAGUGUUCUUCUUGUUUGUUUGGAACUGUAUUACAGAUGAUUUGAGGAGAUGAUCAAUCACUGCAUGCAUGUGCAUAUACAACAUGUUUACAGUACAUACAGUGAACACUUUCUCUCUUUUCUUUCCUGAAUCCAGGAAACCUGUUGUUUGUUCAGACUCCCAGCAUGCAUUGCUCUUUUGCUAUUGCUUCUGUUGUUAGCUUUAGUAACUUGUUCAGAGUUUGUUUUAAUGUACUGCAUCUCACUCAUUGAGAAAAUAUAAUUAUUUUUCACAUUU